ACUCAAAUGAAUUGACGGGGACUUGCACAAGCGGUGGAUCAUGCGGCUCAAUUCGAUGAUAAACGAAAAACCUCACCAGGGUUUGAAACUCAACUGACCGCCUUAGGAAACUUUGGCUUUCGCAAGACAGUUGGGCAGGUGAUGCAUGGUCGUCGUCAGUUCGUGGCUUGAGUUGUUCCCUUCAGUGGGGUAACGAACGCAACCCGCGUUGCCUGUUUUACAAGUCAGGCGAGACUGCCCCCUCACGGGGGAGGAAGGUGCGGAUGACGCCAGAUCAGCAUGUCCCUCUGAUAUCCUGGGCUGCACGCAUGAUACAAUGGUCAUAACAACGGGUCGCGACGGGGUAACCCUGAGCUAAUCCUUAUAAAUAUGGCCCCAGUUCGGAUUGAGGUCUGCAACUCGACCUCAUGAAGCCGGAAUCGCUAGUAAUCGCGGGUCAGCUAUACCGCGGUGAAUACGUUCUCAAGUCUUGUACACACCGCCCGU
rnacentral:rRNA from 1 species